rnacentral:rRNA from 1 species
UGCGUAGGCGGUUUGAUAAGUCGAUUGUGAAAGCCCCGGGCUCAACCUGGGAAUUGCGGUCGAUACUGUCAGACUCGAAAACGGUAGAGGGAGGCGGAACUCCAGGUGUAGCGGUGAAAUGCGUAGAUAUCUGGAAGAACACCGAUGGCGAAGGCAACCUCCUGGGCCUGUUUUGACGCUGAGGCACGAAAGCGUGGGUAGCAAACA